rnacentral:rRNA from 1 species
CGGGGUGCAGCAGGCGCGAAAACUUUACAAUGCUGGCAACAGCGAUAAGGGGACCUUGAGUGCCAGGAUACAAUCCUGGCUGUCGUGAUGCCUAAAAAGCAUUAUAUAGCAAGGGCCGGGCAAGACCGGUGCCAGCCGCCGCGGUAACACCGGCGGCUCGAGUGGUAACCGCUAUUAUUGGGUCUAAAGGGUCUGUAGCCGGCUUGGUUAGUCUCUUGGGAAAUUCGGCAGCUUAACUGUCGGGCUUUCAGGAGAUACUGCCAGGCUCGAGACCGGGAGAGGUGAGAGGUACUUCAUGGGUAGGGGUGAAAUCUUGUAAUCCUUGAAGGACCACCAGUGGCGAAGGCGUCUCACCAGAACGGAUCUGACGGCAAGGGACGAAAGCUAGGGGCACGAACCGGAUUAGAUACCCGGGUAGUCCUAGCCGUAAACGAUACUCGCUAGGUGUCGGCCACGGUGCGACCGUGGUCGGUGCCGUAGGGAAGCCGUGAAGCGAGCCACCUGGGAAGUACGGCCGCAAGGCUGAAACUUAAAGGAAUUGGCGGGGGAGCAC